rnacentral:lncRNA from 1 species
AUUGGGUUUCAGGUUAGAUUAGGGUCAGGUUUGGAUGGUGUUUGGCUCAACCAUUUCCCAACCUUAUAUCGGGCAUGAUGGUUUCUAAUCCAAAUUGCAUCCGCUGCCAAAAAGGCCCACGCGCUUAAAUUGUUUUUAUACACGGUAACUGACUGCCCGUACACGAGGGUGCAGGCAACCAAUUUGAUUCGGCCAAAAUCAAACUAGGAUGGCGAUGGCCGAUGGGUCAUAGGCUAAACUUCCAGGCGUGCCGUCG